rnacentral:miRNA from 1 species
GCAGACACAUUCCAGCCAAUCAGCAGCAGACCCUCUCUCCCAGACCCUCCCACCUCCUGGACAGCUCACUAAGAAUGCAGCUUCAAAAUGGAUGCUGUCCAGGAGGUGGGAGGGUCUGGGAGGGAGGGUCUGCUGCUGAUUGGCUGGAAUGUGUCUG